ensembl:lncRNA
UAAAAUCAUGUGUGAAGAGCAAGUGUCUCCCAUUCAGAAUAGCUCAGCUUAAUAAAUCUCCCAGUAAGUCAACAAACAAGGUCUUGCUCAUGUCACGGGUGACAAAAACGCUCAGCAAGCGGAACCCUCUUGACGAGUCACGAGUUUCCCGAGGGAACGAUUUGUGUGCGACACAUCCCACUCCGGUUCCGGGUGCGGCAGAAACAUUGUCCGGCCUGAUUAGCGCUAAUGCACUGCAGGUUCGAGAGAGAGAGAGGAGCGGUGUGCACAUAGGCUUCCUGCUUUACAAGCAAAGGAUAAAAGGGCUAUUCAGAGGAGUUUCGGCGCGCGGUGGGUCUUUGUGGAGCAGUUUUGGGCACAAGCUUGCCCAGGGAAGUUAUUUGGGUGUGAAGGUUUCCUGUUGAAGUCUCCGGGGAAAUGGUUUUUCUAUUGAAGUCUGCUGGAACAGAGUUCGUCUGUGGGAAUCUGCUGGACUGAUUUAUCGAUUGGAUCUGCGCUGUGAAGGGAGAGAGAAAGAUAAGUUAAUUGAUUUCAUCUUACAAACAUUCGAAAAGCUUGAAGAGGAUACAGUGAAUGUAAAUCUGACUGUUGGGGAAGCUAUGUGUUUCAGAGUGUGCUGAAGAGGAAUUGAGGAUUGAAUAUCCCCCACGGGAGUGUAACGAAUGGAUUGAGACCUCUGAUCAGCCUUACCGUGUGAGUGAAUUGCAGUGCUUUUGCCUUAUUGUUACACAUUGAUUCAUUGCUGUGGAUUUGUGGUGAACAUGAGUGUGGUGUGCUUUUGCUGAGAAGUAGUCCCAACCCCUGCUUACACGUUUGUGAAAAGUUAUGAUACCUGCUCUCCAUUAGAAUCCCUUACCUGUCUAUUUACCGUCUGAGUCCUGGAAGUAUGCAGCAUCGCUGGUGAAGUAAGCUUUUAAGCCACUGUCUCACUGACGUGCACUGACGCCAGUAUCCUGUACUGAGAAGACUUCUUACCUCCCUACGUACCGUCUGAGUCUGGAAGUACGCAGCAUCGCUGAGGAAGUAAGCUUUUAAAUUAUUCUUUCUAAUGUACCCUGAUGAAAGAAUUCUGUACUGCGAAGAACCCUGACCUGUCUACUCACCGACAGAGUCCUGAAGAAUGCAACAUUGCUGGUGAAGUAAGCUUUUAAACCACGGUCUCACUACUGUGUAUUGACGCAAGUAUCCUUGACUGAGAAGUAUCCUUAUCUGUAGACUCACUGCCCAAGUCUUGAAGAGAGCCGCCCUAUGGGUGAAGUCGCCGUCAGGGCGAAACUGCGACGUACGAUCAGUACCUAUCCGUAGCUGAAGAAGACCUAGAGGACACUGAAGUCUAUCACGCUUGUGCUCACUGAUAUAUUGUGCUCAAUAAAGAUUGUUAUUCCUUUGAAGUUACCUCUUGU